AUUCCAUGACGAGGGCACUUCAAUAGUAAUUCUUUGUACCUUUUCCAUGCCUCAUACAAUGACUCUUCAUCCAUUUGUUGGAAGGUAGUAAUUUCAUUCUGCUGCU
rfam:Gossypium arboreum cultivar AKA8401 contig_120_27, whole genome shotgun sequence.